GUCGCACUACCCCAGUCGAGCGUGCAUUGUAGGCCUAGCCUACGCGCGAAGAACUUAUAGCUCAUAGGCCUACUGCGCGCUGGCCUACUUCACGCAAGCCAAUGCAUACUGGCCUACUGUGCGCAGGCCCAUGCAUGCUGGCCUACUGCUCGUAGGCCUACUGCGUGCAGGCCUACGAGGUUGUGCCUAUUUGUGCACGAUGGGACGCGCACGCAAACCACGUUUCACACCCCACCCAGACGGGACGUGC
rnacentral:lncRNA from 1 species